CCAGAGGGAGAAAACACUUCCUCUCUGUUGGUUGGAUUUCCAGUCUUUGCUCCAGCCCUUCCUAAGCCCUGGCCACCUUCCUUGGCUCCUGUGAGAUGCCUUGAGCCUCAUUCAGUACUUCGUACUGGAUUUCGAGGCUGGCAUCCUGCAGUAUUUUGUGAAUGAGCAAAGCAAACACCAGAAGCCUCGAGGAGUCCUGUCUUUAUCUGGAGCCAUAGUGUCCCUGAGCGAUGAAGCUCCCCACAUGCUGGUGGUGUACUCUGCUAAUGGAGAGAUGUUUAAACUGAGAGCUGCUGAUGCAAAAGAGAAACAAUUCUGGGUGACUCAGCUUCGAGCUUGUGCCAAAUACCACAUGGAAAUGAAUUCUAAGAGUGCUCCAAGCUCCCGAAGCCGAAGUCUCACUUUGCUCCCACAUGGAACACCCAAUUCUGCGUCUCCCUGUAGCCAGAGACACCUCAGUGUGGGGGCCCCCGGUGUUGUCACAAUCACGCAUCACAAGUCGCCUGCAGCCGCCCGAAGAGCCAAGAGUCAGUAUUCCGGCCAGCUUCACGAAGUCAGAGAGAUGAUGAACCAGGUGGAAGGGCAGCAGAAGAACCUUGUGCACGCCAUUGAGUCCCUGCCAGGGUCCGGCCCCCUCACUGCCUUGGACCAGGACCUGCUGCUCCUGAA
rnacentral:sRNA from 1 species